rnacentral:misc_RNA from 1 species
GAGAGAGAGAGAGAGAGAAAGAAAUUGAAGCACCCUAAAUUGCAAAUGUAUUUCAUAAAAGCAGCAUUUCAAUGACUCUCUUUAUUUGCAUAGUCUUUGCCCAAAGCAUCUUUUUCAAAUGGAUGGUUUUCAAGAUUUCAAUUUACAGGCCAUUUGCAGCAAUAAAAGAUAACAUGCCGCAAGACAAUGUGAGAGAAUUGAAGCCAUCACAGCUAUUAGUUGAUUGAUAUUACUCCUUAUAUUCAACAUACUCGAAAGAAAGAUUUAAUCAAGAGAUCUUACAUAACAAAAUCUUGAUUAUCUGAAGGAAAAAAGUGAUAUCAAAUGAUCAAUAUUUCUGCUAUCAGAAAAUACCCCCUCGGUCCCCAAGAAAAUAGGCUUAUUUAGCUUCUUCCUAAUAUACCUCCGUUGACAUUGCUCCAUUAAAAAUCAAAUAACUUAUGUUACUAAAUUAUUUUUGAAAUUAAUAGAUUUUACAUUUUCAAUGCUUAUUAAAUAAGGGCAUAUUAAUUGUUAUGGAAAGGCAAUCACUAUAUUAUUUCUCUGUA